rnacentral:piRNA from 1 species
GGAACUGCUACACAGACAACACACCGGC